ensembl:lncRNA
GAUGGCUGCAGUCGCACAGCUCUGCUUCUCCCUGCUGUUCACUCUCAUCAGCAACAUUCAUGCAGAAGAAUUUAUCGCCAUAAGAGAAGAAGGAGGCUCUUUACAGUUCAAGCUCCCAGAUCAAAACAGCUCCUGCAUCACCUCCAGACGUGUUGGUGAAGAUACUCUGGUCCUGUGGAACAUCUCUGACCCCUGGAACAGAAACUUCACAGUACAUGAAGACCUGACAGGACGACUCUCAUUUCCUGACACAUUUCAUGGUUCUCCUUCAUUUACUCUCAACAACCUGACCCACUCAGACUCUGGACUGUACCAAGAUGUGUGCUGGACUCAGGGCAACGUGACAUAUGAGAGAAACAUCAGCCUGACUGUGUGUAAGACAGUAAGGUGGGAAGAAUCUAUCACAAGUCCUGAAGCCACUGUAGACGUACGAUGUAAAGGAGCAGGUGAGAAUCUGACGGUGCGUUGGAUCAGACAUGACAGUAAGUGGCAACAAGCCGGGCCGAGUAUUUUCGAAGACAGAACAAUUUUGGAGGUGAAUAAAGUCCAAGAAAGUUUCCUGGAGGUGAAAAACACAUCACUUCUUCAUGUCUUCAAUGAACAACAAACUGUUUACAUCUGCCUGGUGAUGAACCAACAGCAGUGUGUGAGCACUUACUCUGUACGUUUGACCAAACAAACAAAGCUACGUUAUGCUUCAGAGGGAGACACAGCUGUGCUGGAGUGUCCCUUCAUGAAUCCCAUUCAUGACCAGCCCCCGGUUUGGUGGAAGGAAAGAAUGACCGACAGCAUUACUAAUCAAGAAAUUGGUCGAAACUUCUCGCUGGUACUUCCAUCACUAAUGUUAAAUGAUUCAGGUACCUACAGCUGUGUAGGUGAAAAAGUAAUACAUGCGUACAGGCUUUUCGUGUGCCCUAAAUUUCCACCUGCAGUAAAGGUUUUCUCAGAGGGAGAUGAAGUCACUGUGAGAUGUACACCUGGAUUUCCAUCCAUUUGGUUCAUUAAGUCGAUUCGAACAGAAGAAGAUGCAGGAGAGUAUGUGUGUACAGGUUUUUAUGAAGAGGAUGAGUGUGUGUCAGGAGAAAAAACAGUUCUGAUCCACAGAGAGCCCUUUGGGGUUUACUCGACCUUCUACAGAGUCAGGUGGAUACUGCUCAGCGGUCUGCAGGUGAUGCUUUGUGUUGUUGUGGUCUGUGUGAUACAGAAAACCAGGAGAGGAGAGCGGCUUUCAGCUCAGACACACACUUAAUAUGCUUAUCAGCAUUUAUUAUUAUUAUCAUUCAUGUAUCUCUCAGAGUAUCAUUUUGAAUAUUCUUCUGUUUCUAUCAGUGAUCAGUUCGAUCUAUAAUAAAUGUUAGAAACCAGUUGUAAAUGUAUUCGUUCUUCACUCUGAUGUGAAUCAUUAUCAUCUCUCUUGGAAAAUGUAUUUUGUUUUUGUGUUUAAGAGCAGAUUCAUUACAGCACCAUGUUUAUCUGCACUAUAUUGUUUUCAUUGUUGUGAAUCAUUUAUAUUUGCAUUUCAAAUUGUUGUGAUGCAGCAGACUGGAAACAUGAUUGUCUGAUACAGCAAACACUUCAUAAU